rnacentral:rRNA from 1 species
UCGAGAGACGUAAGGUCUCGGCGGACCGCUCAGUAACACGUGGAUAACAUGCCCUAAGGUGGGGGAUAAUCUCGGGAAACUGAGGGUAAUACCCCAUAGGUCUAUUUUGCUGGAAUGCUAAUAGGCCGAAAACUCCGGUGCCUUAGGAUUGGUCUGCGGUCUAUCAGGCUGUAGUGGGUGUAAUGGACCCACUAGCCCGUGACGGAUAUGGGCCUUGAGAGAGGGAGCCCAGAAAUGGACUCUGAGACAUGAGUCCAGGCCCUACGGGGCGCAGCAGUCGCGAAAACUUCGCAAUGGGGGCAACCCCGACGAGGGAAUUCCAAGUGCUAGCACUUUGUGUUAGCUGUUCUCCUGUCUAAAAAACAGGAGGAGUAAGGGGCGGGUAAGACGGGUGCCAGCCGCCGCGGUAAUACCCGCGCCCCAAGUGGUGGUCGAUAUUAUUGAGCCUAAAACGUCCGUAGCCGGUCUUCUAAAUCCUUGGGUAAAUCGGGCAGCUUAACUGUCCGAAGUCCGGGGAGACUGGGAGACUUGGGACCGGGAGAGGUCAGAGGUACUUCUGGGGUAGGGGUAAAAUCCUGUAAUCCUGGAAGGACCACCGGUGGCGAAGGCGUCUGACUAGAACGGAUCCGACGGUGAGGGACGAAGCCCUGGGGCGCAAACGGGAUUAGAUACCCCGGUAGUCCAGGGUGUAAACGCUGCGGGCUUGGUGUUGGGGGUCCUUAGUGGGCGCCCAGUGCCGGAGAGAAGUUGUUAAGCCUGCUGCUUGGGGAGUAUGUCCGCAAGGAUGAAACUUAAAGGAAUUGGCGGGGGAGCACCGCAACGGGAGGAGCGUGCGGU